UACGUAGGAGGCAAGCGUUGUCCGGAAUUACUGGGCGUAAAGCGCGUGUAGGUGGUGGGACAAGUCUGCUGUGAAAGCGCCUGGCUUAACCGGGCGAGGUCGGCGGAAACUGUCCGACUAGAGGACGGUAGAGGGGGGUGGAAUUCCCGGUGUAGUGGUGAAAUGCGCAGAUAUCAGGAAGAACACCCGUGGCGAAGGCGGCUCUCUGGAACGCAACUGACGCUGAGACGCGAAAGCGUGGGGAGCAAACAGG
rnacentral:rRNA from 1 species